rnacentral:rRNA from 1 species
GACGAACGCUGGCGGCGUGCUUAACACAUGCAAGUCGAACGGAAAGGCCCUGCUUGCAGGGUACUCGAGUGGCGAACGGGUGAGUAACACGUGGGUGAUCUGCCCUGCACUUCGGGAUAAGCCUGGGAAACUGGGUCUAAUACCGGAUAGGAGCCAUUUUUAGUGUGAUGGUUGGAAAGUUUUUUCGGUGUAGGAUGAGCUCGCGGCCUAUCAGCUUGUUGGUGGGGUAAUGGCCUACCAAGGCGGCGACGGGUAGCCGGCCUGAGAGGGUGGACGGCCACAUUGGGACUGAGAUACGGCCCAGACUCCUACGGGAGGCAGCAGUGGGGAAUAUUGCACAAUGGGCGCAAGCCUGAUGCAGCGACGCCGCGUGGGGGAUGACGGUCUUCGGGUUGUAAACUCCUUUCGCUAGGGACGAAGCUUUUUGUGACGGUACCUAGAGAAGAAGCACCGGCUAACUACGUG